rnacentral:rRNA from 1 species
UCCAGAGGUCCCAAGCGUUGUUCGGAUUCAUUGGGCGUAAAGGGUGCGUAGGUGGCGCCGUAAGUCGGGUGUGAAAUUUCGGAGCUUAACUCCGAAACUGCAUUCGAUACUGCGGUGCUUGAGGACUGGAGAGGAGACUGGAAUUCAUGGUGUAGCAGUGAAAUGCGUAGAGAUCAUGAGGAAGACCAGUGGCGAAGGCGGGUCUCUGGACAGUUCCUGACACUGAGGCACGAAGGCCAGGGGAGCAAACGGG